rnacentral:rRNA from 1 species
AUGCCCCUGGUGGUAGCCGGGUCAUCCUCUUCGGGCGGCCCCGCAUUCCCGCCAGGGUUUGCUCUUCAGCCGGCCUACGCUCCAACAGACACCGCUCCGGGAAUGAACUUGGGACAACAUGCCGAUAACAUGCCGGUUAACAACGUUAGUGGCAAGCAGGCUGUUUGGACAACCGCCAUGUCGUCCUUUGUGCUUAAGUUCAUGGCUAACCUGGUGACCAGUGGAACUAGAGCCUCCAACAGUUUCAGGCAAGUUCAUCAUAAAAGCUGUGCAAAGGCUUUGAACGAGCGCUUCAAGCUUCAAGUAACUGCCGCUCAGAUUUCUAACCACCUUCGGAAGUGGAAAAGAAUAUGGGGAAGGGUUAACAAGCUCAAGAGCUUAAGUGGUGCUCUUUGGGAUGAGCAUACAUGCACCAUUGUGCUUGAUCAGGAGCAUUAUGCCAGUCACGUUAAGGACCACCAUAGUGAUGCCGACUUGUUGAACACUCCGAUCGAGCACUAUCAUGAGAUGGCUACAAUCUGUGGCAACGGCAUGGUUUCAGGUGUAUAUGCUAGCAGGAGUAGCAAUGAGCUUCUUUCCACAGACGUGGCUGAUGAUGAAUUUGAAAAUGAAGAUACCAAUGGGGAGAGUGACCCUAUUGCUACAAAUGUGACUGAGAAUGAAAUGGAAAACAGAAAAACUAAUGAAGCGAGUGACCCUCUUGCUAUCGUUGUGAUCGAGAAUGGCAAAACCUGUGAAGAGGCCACACAAUCUUUUACUAACACUGAUGGAGGAAACUUUGGUGAUCCCUCUAGCAGUUUACCACCACCAAAGAAGGCCAAGAUGUCUCACUUGGAUUUAUCACAACAACGCGAUGCUCCAGCUAUGCAGCCAGACGUGGGUAUAUCACAUGGAAUGAACUUGGAACAGCAUGCGGAUAACAUUGCGGGUACUAAUGGUGGUGGUGGGCAACUUGUUUGGACAAAUGCCAUGUCAUCCUUUGUGCUUCAGUUCUUGACUAACCUAGUGGCCAGUGGAACUAGACCCUCUCAUGUUUUCAAGCAAGUUCAUCUUAAAAGUUGUGCUCAGGCUUUGUGUGAGCACUUUAGGGUUCAAGUGAAUGCUGCACAGAUUUCUAACCAUCUUAGGAAAUGGAAGAAAAUAUGGAAAAAGGUUAACAUACUCAAGAGUUUAAGUGGCGCUCUUUGGGAUGCGAGUACUUGCACCAUUGUGCUUAAUCAUGAGCAUUACACAGCUCACGUUAAGGACCACCAUCAUGAUGCUGAUUUCUUGAACACUCCAAUUAAGAACUAUCGUGAGAUGGCGACAAUCUUUGUCAAAGGCAUGGCUUCAUCCAGGCCAGCUAGGAGUAGCAACGAGUCUCUUGCUAGGGGCGCGCCUGAGAAUGGAAUCGAAAAUGAAAACGUGAAUUGGGUGAAUGCCCUUAUUCCUAAAGGUGUUGAAGAGGCCGCAAUGUCUUUUACCAGCACCGAUGAAGGGAACAGUGGUGAUUCGUCUGACAGCUUACCUCCCCCACCCCCACCAAAGAAAGCCAAGGUAAAAAACGAUGACAGGCUGCUAUGUACCAUGACCCGUGUUCUCGAUCGCCUAGCAGAAGCCAUAGAGAAAUGCAGUAGGAGAGACACUGAUGUCCCCGACGACCUUUGGGCGAACAUGAAGAGCCUCCCAGGGUUUGAACAGGAGCAUCUUGCCCACUACUAUGCUUAUUUGUGCGAGAAUGCUCACGUUGCCAGGGCAUUUGACAAGCUUAGCGUGCCUCACAAAACGAUCUGGGUUAAUAGGUACAUCAAGAACCACCUCUCGGCCUAG